AUGAGUUACCGUGGCGAUCGCAGGCAGAGACAGCUGCUGUCUGCUGGCCACUUCAUCAGCGUGAGGGGGGGGGGGGUGAAAAACAGGAAGAAAAAGGAGAGAGGAGGCAGAAAAACAGGAAGAAAAAGGAGAGAGGAGGCAGAAAAACAGGAAGAAAAAGGAGAGAGGAGGCAGAAAAACAGGAAGAAAAAGGAGAGAGGAGGCAGAAAAACACAGCAUCAUGAGGAGGAGGAGAGGGGACAGCAUCAUGAGGAGGAGGAGAGGGGACAGCAGCAUGAGGAGGAGGAGAGGGGACAGCAGCAUGAGGAGGAGGAGAGGGGACAGCAGCAUGAGGAGGAGGAGAGGGGACAGCAUCAUGAGGAGGAGGAGGAGAGGGGACAGCAUCAUGAGGAGGAGGAGAGGGGACAGCAGCAUGAGGAGGAGGAGAGGGGACAGCAGCAUGAGGAGGAGGAGAGGGGACAGCAUCAUGAGGAGGAGGAGGAGAGGGGACAGCAUCAUGAGGAGGAGGAGAGGGGACAGCAGCAUGAGGAGGAGGAGAGGGGACAGCAUCAUGAGGAGGAGGAGGAGAGGGGACAGCAUCAUGAGGAGGAGGAGAGGGGACAGCAGCAUGAGGAGGAGGAGAGGGGACAGCAUCAUGAGGAGGAGGAGGAGAGGGGACAGCAUCAUGAGGAGGAGGAGAGGGGACAGCAGCAUGAGGAGGAGGAGAGGGGACAGCAGCAUGAGGAGGAGGAGAGGGGACAGCAUCAUGAGGAGGAGGAGGAGAGGGGACAGCAGCAUGAGGAGGAGGAGAGGGGACAGCAUCAUGAGGAGGAGGAGGAGAGGGGACAGCAUCAUGAGGAGGAGGAGAGGGGACAGCAGCAUGAGGAGGAGGAGAGGGGACAGCAUCAUGAGGAGGAGGAGGAGGAGAGGGGACAGCAGCAUGAGGAGGAGAGGGGACAGCAUCAUGAGGAGGAGGAGGAGAGGGGACAGCAUCAUGAGGAGGAGGAGAGGGGACAGCAGCAUGAGGAGGAGGAGGAGGAGAGGGGACAGCAUCAUGAGGAGGAGGAGGAGAGGGGACAGCAUCACGAGGAGGAGGAGGAGGAGAGGGGACAGCAUCAUGAGGAGGAGGAGGAGGAGAGGGGACAGCAUCAUGAGGAGGAGAGGGGACAGCAUCAUGAGGAGGAGGAGGAGAGGGGACAGCAUCAUGAGGAGGAGGAGAGGGGACAGCAGCAUGAGGAGGAGGAGGAGGAGAGGGGACAGCAUCAUGAGGAGGAGGAGAGGGGACAGCAGCAUGAGGAGGAGGAGGAGGAGAGGGGACAGCAUCAUGAGGAGGAGGAGGAGGAGAGGGGACAGCAGCAUGAGGAGGAGGAGGAGGAGGAGGAGGAGAGGGGACAGCAGCAUCAGAUGGGAGCAUGGGGCCCAGGCCGCCACCGCGUCACCACCAGCGAACGCCUGAUCCCUCCUGGAGGAGCUGUCAGGACCUGUGGAGAACAUGUGGAGCAGCAUCACCACGGCGACGGGCCGCCCUGA
rnacentral:lncRNA from 1 species